GCUUGCUUUGGCAACACAUAUGCUAAAAUUGGAAUGAUACAGUGAAUAUUAGCAUGGCCCUUGCACAAGGAUGACAUGCAAAUUUGUGAAGUGUAUGUCAGGUUA